UUCUUAUCGUUUUGCGGGGUGGGGGGGAAGGCUCGGGACCUGCAUGGCGUAAAGCAGCGUCCUUCUCGCUGGAGGGGGAACGGCUCAGGGCAGGUCGGUCUUAUUCCGGCAGGACAAGCUCGCCGGCGACACGUGGCAGGCGACACGAGGAUGGCCCGAGCCGGCGGCGCUCCGGCGAUGUCUCACGUGGGUCUCGCGGCGGCGACCGGCGGAGGAUAGGUUCCCGCCGGGUGGCGCUUCACGCCGCUGCCGGCUCCGGCAAUUAGGCGGCGAGAAAGAAGGGAGAAGAUUCGAGAAUGGAGUGUCGAGGAAGGAACGGGUUUGAAUUGGAGGCACGGGUCACUCUCUCUCUUCUCUCUUUCUCUCUCUCUCUCGGCAUCCUCUUCAUACGGCGGUCUUACCCAACUCGCCGGAGCAGAAUACGCAGUUUGAAAGAGGAUUGCCCGCAAGGCACUCCACCGUCGCCCUGAGCCGUCUCCUCCUGCGGCGGGCAUCGGGGGGUGGGACCCACGCGCUCUCCGCCGCCGCCAUUAGAGGGAAACCGGAGAUCUCCCCUUCUGGUAUUUUGCUUCUUGUUUCUCCCCAUGGCUACUUCCGAGUAGGUCGCAGAGCUACGCGUGCUCAUGCCGAACCUUCCAUUGAGAGGGAUGAGAGAGAAACAGGUUUGACGACUUGAAGGGUCUGCUUAAAUGGGUCCCUGUAAACUGUACGUGCGAGGCCGAAGCUUCUGGCUGAAGCUUGAAUCCGUUUCGUCAUCGUUUGUUUAAUGCAUUAGUGCUCAGACGGGAGAGAGCCCAUCGUGUGUACAGCCCUGUUGCCUUGCAUCUCAAGCAACUCCGGAAUCCUCCAGGUCCUCUUCCUCAUCCUCUUUCUCUCUCUCUCUCUCUCUCCUCUCCUCUCUCUCUCUGUCUCUGUCUCUCUCUCUCUCUCUCUCUCUCUCUCUCUCUCUCCCUCUCGCUGUCAAAACUCCUCGUGACAAAAGAACCAUCAAUUCGUCACACCAUCUGAAACUCAUGUGAGUUGUUACAUCCUUUCUCCUUGAUUUCCUCCCUCCUACAUUCCGUAUGGGUGAUUUCCAGGUCUUACGAUCAUAAUCGAGGGCCGAAUCUUCGAAGCCCCAAUGGGAGGUUAUGAAUUCGUCUGGCCUUGGUUUCCGAGAAAUCUGACGUUCGGCUGAACCUGUUUCGUCAUCUUCAGGCGCGACGCCGAUGGAUCGUCUGAAGCUCUUCGCGCAGAGAGGCUAAUGACCUUCGUCCUGAAGGAAUAGGAGGGUCGUCCAGUUCAGGGGCUUUCCGAGGAAGAUCUCUCCGUAACAACCAGUGGAGUCCGUUUCUCUGCUUUUGCUUUGGCGGUCAAAAACGUAAAAACAAAUCCAAAGGUGGGAG
rnacentral:lncRNA from 1 species